rnacentral:rRNA from 1 species
GAGACGUUGGCGGUGCGCCUUAUGCAGCAAGUCGAACGGGGUUGCAGUUUUCGGAUUGUAACCUAGUGGCGAACGGCUGAAGUAACACGUAAGCAACCUACCUUGGAGUGGGAAAUAACCUGUCGAAAGAUAGGCUAAUGUCCCAUGUGGUAACGAAGCAUAAGCUUGGUUACUAAAGCCUUCGGGCGCUCCUUGAGGGGCUUGCGGCUGAUUAGCUUGUUGGUAGGGUAACGGCCUACCAAGGCAAUGAUCGGUAGCUGGUCUGAGAGGAUGGUCAGCCAGAUGGGGACUGAGACACGGCCCCAACUCCUGCGGGAGGCAGCAGCAAGGAAUUUUGGGCAAUGAGCGAAAGCUUGACCCAGCGACACCGCGUGAGGGAUGAAGGCCUUCGAGUUGUAAACCUCUUUUCUUGGGGAAGAAUUCUGACGGUACCCAAGGAAUAAGCCUCGGCUAACUACGUGCCAGCAGCCGCGGUAAUACGUAGGAGGCGAACGUUAUUCGGAUUUACUGGGCGUAAAGGGAGCGUAGGCGGUUCAUCAAGUCAGACGUAAAAUCUUCCGACUCAAUCGGAAGGCGCCAUCUGAUACUGACGGACUUGAGAGCAACAGAGGGAAAUGGAAUCCCCCAGUGUAGCGGUGAAAUGCGUAG